rnacentral:rRNA from 1 species
UACGUAAGGUCCGAGCGUUGUCCGGAAUCAUUGGGCGUAAAGGGUCCGUAGGCGGAUAAGCAAGUUAGAAGUGAAAUCCUAUAGCUCAACUAUAGUAAGCUUUUAAAACUGCUCAUCUUGAGGUAUGGAAGGGUAAGUGGAAUUCCUAGUGUAGCGGUGAAAUGCGCAGAUAUUAGGAAGAAUACCGGUGGCGAAGGCGACUUUCUGGGCCUAAACUGACGCUGAGGUACGAAAGCUUGGGGAGCGAACAGG